AUACGUAGGGGGCGAGCGUUGUCCGGAAUUCUUGGGCGUAAAGGGCGCGUAGGCGGCCUGUUAAGUCUGGAGUGAAAGUCCUGUGUUCAAGAUGGGAAUGGCUUUGGGUACUGCUGGGCUUGAGUGCAGGAGAGGUUAUCGGAAUUCCCGGUGUAGCGGUGAAAUGCGUAGAGAUCGGGAGGAACACCAGUGGCGAAGGCGGGUAACUGGACUGCAACUGACGCUGAGGCGCGAAAGUGUGGGGAGCAAACAGGAUUAGAUACCCUGGUAGUCCACACCGUAAACGAUGAAUACUAGGUGUAGGGGGUAUCGACUCCCUCUGUGCCGCAGUUAACGCAAUAAGUAUUCCGCCUGGGGAGUACGGCCGCAAGGUUGAAACUCAAAUGAAUUGGCGGGG
rnacentral:rRNA from 1 species